rnacentral:rRNA from 1 species
AACGAACGCUGGCGGCAUGCCUAACACAUGCAAGUCGAACGAGACCUUCGGGUCUAGUGGCGCACGGGUGCGUAACGCGUGGGAACCUGCCCUUAGGUUCGGAAUAACUCCCCGAAAGGGGUGCUAAUACCGGAUAAUGUCUUCGGACCAAAGAUUUAUCGCCUUUGGAUGGGCCCGCGUUGGAUUAGCUAGUUGGUAGGGUAAAAGCCUACCAAGGCGACGAUCCAUAGCUGGUCUGAGAGGAUGAUCAGCCACACUGGGACUGAGACACGGCCCAGACGCCUACGGGAGGCAGCAGUGGGGAAUAUUGGACAAUGGGCGAAAGCCUGAUCCAGCAAUGCCGCGUGAGUGAUGAAGGCCUUAGGGUUGUAAAGCUCUUUUACCCGGGAUGAUAAUGACAGUACCGGGAGAAUAAGCUCCGGCUAACUCCGUG